GCCGAACCACCACGUGAGGAUGAAACUCAACCAACGCCAAGGAAUGACUAUAUUUUAAAAGUAAAAACAUGUUUUAUGGGUAUAUGUCGUUUUAACAUCCUUGACGAACUCGGUUGGAUGCCCGGGCCAAGGUGUCACCGAGUAUGAGUUUUGGCACAAGCCAAGUUUUUAAGAGAAUCAUAAGCCUUGUUGAUUAUUUCGAUGAAAUGUAAUUGUUUUA
rnacentral:lncRNA from 1 species